UACGGAGGGGGCUAGCGUUGUUCGGAAUUACUGGGCGUAAAGCGCACGUAGGCGGCUUUGUAAGUUAGAGGUGAAAGCCCAGGGCUUAACCCUGGAAUUGCCUUUAAGACUGCAUCGCUAGAAUCGUGGAGAGGUGAAGUGGAAUUCCGAGUGUAGAGGUGAAAUUCGUAGAUAUUCGGAAGAACACCAGUGGCGAAGGCGACUCACUGGACACAUAUUGACGCUGAGGUGCGAAAGCGUGGGGAGCAAACAGG
rnacentral:rRNA from 1 species